UACGGAGGGUGCAAGCGUUAAUCGGAAUUACUGGGCGUAAAGCGCGCGUAGGCGGCUGGGUAAGUCGAUUGUGAAAGCCCCGGGCUCAACCUGGGAAUUGCAGUCGAGACUGCUCGGCUAGAGUGUGGGAGAGGGUGGUGGAAUUCCCGGUGUAGCGGUGAAAUGCGUAGAUAUCGGGAGGAACAUCAGUGGCGAAGGCGACCACCUGGACCAACACUGACGCUGAGGUGCGAAAGCGUGGGUAGCAAACAGG
rnacentral:rRNA from 1 species